GUAGAUGUAGUUCAAGUAGAACAUUAGAUUGUGAUUCUAAAAAUAGAAGUUAAAAUCUUCUCGUCCACC
rnacentral:tRNA from 2 species